GACAGAGGAUGCAAGCGUUAUCCGGAAUGAUUGGGCGUAAAGCGUCUGUAGGUGGCUUUUUAAGUCUGCCGUCAAAUCCCAGGGCUCAACCCUGGACAGGCGGUGGAAACUACCAAGCUGGAGUACGGUAGGGGCAGAGGGAAUUUCCGGUGGAGCGGUGAAAUGCGCAGAUAUCAGGAGGAACACCGGUGGCGAAGGCGGGUCUCUGGGCCGAUACUGACGCUGAGGAGCGAAAGCGUGGGGAGCGAACAGG
rnacentral:rRNA from 1 species